GUCCUACGGGAGGCAGCAGUAGGGAAUUUUCGUCAAUGGGCGCAAGCCUGAACGAGCGAUGCCGCGUGAGUGAAGAAGGCCUUCGGGUCGUAAAGCUCUGUUGCGGGGGAAAAAAGGCAGCAUCAGGAAAUGGGUGCUGACUGAUGGUGCCCCGCCAGAAAGUCACGGCUAACUACGUGCCAGCAGCCGCGGUAAUACGUAGGUGGCAAGCGUUGUCCGGAAUUACUAGGUGUAAAGGGAGCGCAGGCGGGAAGCCAAGUCAGCUGUGAAAACUACGGGCUUAACUUGUAGA
rnacentral:rRNA from 1 species